UCAUGUAACAGAGUUGAAGGAGAUAGUAAUAAAGUCUACAUUACUAUAUAUUUGGUUCACCAACAUGUCUAUUUUGACCUGCUGCUAUAAAUUUAUUUCCUUUAUCACUGUGUAUUAAACAAACCAAUCACUCUUCAUAAAUGGAAACUGGAUUUUAUGAAGCAUAAAAACAAAGAAUGAAAAUUUACAUUGAUGGUGGGAGAAAAUCAGGGAACCUAAGUUAUGCAUAAAUACAUAAAUAUAGAUGCACUUGAAGCUGAAAUGAUAAGCAGGAAACUUGCUUUCUGAGAAAGAAAAGGUACUUUAGUCAUCAGGAGACUGAAACAGAGACAAUAUACCUUUUAACCUUAUCAGUAAAAUCUUAUUUCUAUGUUUUGUGUAAAAGCAUAGUUAAAUCUGGGGUGUUAA